AGUGGCGGACGGGUGAGUAACGCGUGAGAAUCUGCCUUCAGGAUGGGGACAACAGUGGGAAACCACUGCUAAUACCCAAUAUGCCGAAAGGUGAAAAUUAUUUUGCCUGAAGAGGAGCUCGCGUCUGAUUAGCUAGUUGGUGGGAUAAAAGCUUACCAAGGCAACGAUCAGUAGCUGGUCUGAGAGGAUGAGCAGCCACACUGGGACUGAGACACGGCCCAGACUCCUACGGGAGGCAGCAGUGGGGAAUUUUCCGCAAUGGGCGAAAGCCUGACGGAGCAAUACCGCGUGAGGGAGGAAGGCCUUUGGGUUGUAAACCUCUUUUCUCAGGGAAGAAGAUCUGACGGUACCUGAGGAAUAAGCAUCGGCUAACUCCGUGCCAGCAGCCGCGGUAAUACGGAGGAUGCAAGCGUUAUCCGGAAUCAUUGGGCGUAAAGCGUCCGCAGGUGGUUUUUCAAGUCUGCUGUCAAAGACCAGAGCUCAACUCUGGGCAGGCAGUGGAAACUGGGAAACUAGAGUUCAGUAGGGGUAGCGGGAAUUCCCAGUGUAGCGGUGAAAUGCGUAGAUAUUGGGAAGAACAUCGGUGGCGAAGGCGCGCUACUGGACCGAAACUGACACUCAGGGACGAAAGCUAGGGUAGCGAAAGGGAUUAGAUACCCC
rnacentral:rRNA from 1 species